AACGAACGCUGGCGGCAUGCCUAACACAUGCAAGUCGAACGGGAUCCUAGCUUGCUAGGUGAGAGUGGCGGACGGGUGAGUAACACGUGGGAAUCUGCCUUUUGGUUCGGGAUAACCGCGGGAAACUGCGGCUAAUACCGAAUGCCCUCGAGAGAGGAAAGAUUCAUCGCCAGAAGAGGAGCCCGCGUCCGAUUAGGUAGUUGGUGGGGUAAAGGCCUACCAAGCCGACGAUCGGUAGCUGGUCUGAGAGGAUGAUCAGCCACACUGGGACUGAGAUACGGCCCAGACUCCUACGGGAGGCAGCAGUGGGGAAUAUUGGACAAUGGGGGCAACCCUGAUCCAGCAAUGCCGCGUGAGUGAUGAAGGCCUUAGGGUUGUAAAGCUCUUUUGCCAGGGAAGAUGAUGACUGUACCUGGAGAAUAAGCCCCGGCUAACUUCGUGCCAGCAGCCGCGGUAAU
rnacentral:rRNA from 1 species